UACGUAGGGGGCAAGCGUUGUUCGGAAUUACUGGGCGUAAAGGGCGCGUAGGCGGUCCGCUAAGUUAGAUGUGAAAACUCUGGGCUCAACCCAGAGCCUGCAUCUAAUACUGACGGGCUAGAGUUCUGGAGGGGGUAGCGGAAUUCCUGGUGUAGCGGUGAAAUGCGUAGAUAUCAGGAGGAACACCGGUGGCGAAGGUGGCUACCUGGACAGAAACUGACGCUGAGGCGCGAAAGCUAGGGGAGCAAACAGG
rnacentral:rRNA from 1 species